GAUAUUGUUCCAGCUAAAGUACUAGCUAAGGACUAUCUUGCAUCAUUAAAGAAAACACAAGGAAAGAAGGGAGAAGCAAUAGAAAUUGAUUAAUCAUCGAUAUCUCAAAAGACGUUCUUACUUGCCAAGCUAAAGCUAUCCUGUUGUGUGCUUUGGGUGAAUCAAUAGUUGUACAUUGUAUACUCCAUAAACGGACCAUUGGCCAUGAGGGAGUUUAAGACCUUGAUAGCAAACUACAGACUACAUUUGAAAAUAUGCUCGUUACCAAUUUAUCCCAAAUAGUAAGCAUGUGCCUGCAUGGCUUUGUGUUCCAGAAGUUUCAUCUUUAAAGCUAAUCAGUUCUGUAUAAAACUACUCGCAACAUGCUGCUCAGUCAAUUUUGGUGCUGCGUUCUUGUUGUAAUUGUCACAACACAAUAAUAUGGUCUUUAUAGUCAUGGCCGCUACGGUGAAAAGUGUGCUAUAGAGAAUAGAGAAUACAUAAGUGUUAUUUUCCCCUGUGAAAACUGGCAUUUAACCGUAGUCGCUACCCGCGUUGUUCGUUGUCGGCCUCUUAGAAAAGUGAAUGACUGGGGGUUUUUGAAUGAGUUUCUGCCAUGCAUGGAUUUCUUUAUGAUUCGUUUGGUGCGCAUGUUUUUUCUCUGCCAACUUCUGGACGGCACCCUUUCCUGAUUUUUUUAUACUAUUCUUAUUAUCCGUCGCUUAAGGUAAGUUUACACGCAAUCGCAUGCCGACUAAAAUUAAGGUUUAAAUUAAACCUUAGUUUUACGAGGAACUAUGCGAUUAUUUGUUAAUUAUAGAGGGCAAAAUUUAUUCGUAAGUUAAUAGACCUUUCCCCUUUUAAGUGAAUUUUUGAUCUAGACAAAUCUGGACAAAAAAUUCAUCACAGCUUGAAAGAGCAUCACAAAAUUAGUAAUACUCCGAAGUUUCGUUGCGAAAUGGUGUAAAAUGCGGAUAAUAUAGCCUUGCGAAGUUUGUCGUUUUUCAGUCAUUUUGCAUUACAAACGGGAAAUUGAUAAUCAGUUUGAUCAUCUGAUUAUCAAUUUCCCGUUUGUAAUGCAAAAUGACUGAAAAACGGCAAACUUCACAAGGCUAUAUUAUCCGCAUUUUACAACAUUCGCAACGAAACUUCGGAAUAUUACUGAUUUUGUGAUGCUCUUUCAAGCUGUGAUGACUUGCCUUCUUGAUUUGUCCAGACUUGUCUAGAUCACAAUUUCACUUAAAAGGGGAAAGGUCUAUUGUGAACUUGUCAAGUUCUUGAACCUCGUAUGUCUCCAUGUCUUCGCCUUUUCGCCGAUGUUUCGUAAUGCUGCCCUGCCUGCCAAUUUCUUAAAUACUCCAACCAAUAAAUUUGUAUUUUUUCUAGUAUUCAAGUUUUCACUAGAAGUCUUUAAUUCUUCAAUAGGGAAUUUAAGCUUCACGUUUCUGGGAACGGCAAACGGCAGGUUCGAACUUUCUUGGCAAAAUUUUCGUUGAACGUUUUCGUUUCAUAUUUUCUUUUUGCAUCGAAAGAAUAAUUAUGUAUUUCAGUUUUAAAACAGCAAGUUAAUUUACUAUUUAUUGCCUGACACCGUAACAUUUUUCUUUGCCUGGCGUUUGACGUAUAACGCGAAGCUUAAACUCUCUAAUAACAUCAUUAUCCGCGACGACAAGGUGAGAAGCCAUUGUUUUUAUUGUAUUUAAAACAAGAAACUUCCCGCGCUUGCGUCUCAGCCAAUCAGGUAAAAGUAAUUUUGCCCUGAAUUAAGAAAAAAUGCCCUCCUCAUUAGCCGAUCAUAUUUGAGUAAUUUUGCCCUCCAUAUGAUUAGUCGUGUAAAUUCGUAUUCUGGCGUAUGAAAAUUCGUUUCUUCGUUUCGUUUGCAGCGAAAUCUGAAAUGUAACUACUAAUACGCGUGCUUAUUCGAUCACAUAGUCAGAACAUGAAUCGUACACGACAAAUCGCAGCGUACAAACGUACCUUUACUUAUCUUCAAUCUGCACAUAUUUUUGAAAAUGUGAACAGCAACAUUUAUUAGUUGGGUUCAGUCACGUGAUACGUUUGGCGCUUGGUGGUCAACUCCAAAUGGAAACAGAUUUAUUGGAUCAAGUUAAAUAUUCAUUAUUGAUCUUGUGUUUGCUAUCAAAUACUAUUACUUUAGUACCAUUACGAAAUAAUAAUAAUACGAAAUAAUAAUACUAUUUAACAAUUAUACCAUUCGCUCUCGUCGUAUAUGAGCGGAUAGCCGACGAGGUGCGUAGCACCGAGUCGGCUAUCAGCCAUAUACGACGAGAGCGAAUGGUAUAAUUGUUUUAUAAUAUAGUCUAAUAGCCAUUAACUGAAGCAAUAAUUAAUUAUCCUCUGUUACAAUGUCUUGAUAAUACGAACAUGAUACUUUUGAUAGAAAUUUUUGGAUUAAACAAUCAAGAACAUCAAUGUUGAGUGUUUAAAGUUGUUGAAAGCAAUUAAAGUUGUUGAAAGGGUGUUGAAAGUAUUUCUGAAAGCAAGACGUAUCAGCACACCUUGAAAAUUUGAAAUACUUUUGUUUUACAACUCGAAGACGAAUUGAAAGAAAUGGUUUUAGAACCGGUAUAUUUUCACAGAAAAGCUCAGAUAUAUUAUACAGAUGUUUGGUGGUAUAGUAACUGCUUGUUGACUGCAAAUUCAUUUUUCUUUCGUUGCAAACUUUUCUGAACAAUUUAUAUUCUCAAUGAACAUGUUUUUUUCGCUGUUCUUUCGGUAUUAAUUCUUUAAAAAACUUGUAUUUAAACUAAUUUCUAUGUAAUAAAUGUAUUUUGCUAACCUGUCAAAUUUUUUUAAGAGUUUUUCCUUGUGCUAUUAUCUUUCUCAAAGCGAAUAUUUUCCUUUUUCUUCUUCGCAAACUCUCAUGUAGUUUUUGGACCGCCAUCUUGUUUUUCGCUACUCGCCGUAUAUGAGCUGAUAUACGGUGAGUAAUUCAACCAAUCAGAUUGCAGAACAGCUCAUAUACGGUGAAUGACUAUAUUAUAAUACGAAAUUUACUUGCUUCUACAAGGAAUAAAGCGGCGAUAUUGA